GGGGGGACCACCCUCCAACCCUAAAUACUACCCAGUGACCGAUAGCGUAUAGUACUGUGAAGGAAAGGUGAAAAGGACCCCGGGAGGGGAGUGAAAUAGAACCUGAAACCUUGUGCCUACAAGCACAUAGAGCACAUCAACGUGUGAUAUGGUACUUUUUGUAGAACGGUCCGGCGAGCGAUUGUAUGUUGCGAGCUUAAGGUCUUAAGGACUGGAGGCGCAGCGAGAGCGAGUCUGAACAGGGCGUUCAGUAACAUGCAAUGGGCCCGAAACCGGGUGACCUACCCAUGAUCAGGCUGAAGUGAAAGUAAAAUUUCAUGGAGGGCCGAACCGACCUCCGUUGAAAAGGCGGCGGAUGAAUUGUGGGUAGCGGAGAAAUUCCAAUCGAACUCGGAGAUAGCUGGUUCUCCCCGAAAUAGCUUUAGGGCUAGCCUCAUAUUAGAUACCCGGAGGUAAAGCACUGAAUGGCCUAGCGCCCGAGAGGGUAGCGAAGCCUAUCAAACUAAGAAUGCCGGAGUAUUGAUGUAUGGGAGUCAGACAGUGUGAGAUAAAUCUCAUUGUCAAAAGGGAAACAGCCCAGAUCUACAGCUAAGGUCCCAAAUUGUAUCUAAGUGGAAAACGAUGUGGAAAUACGCAGACAACCAGGAUGUUGGCUCAGAAGCAGCCACUCAUUUAAAGAGUGCGUAAUAGCUCACUGGUCGAGCGUCUCUGCGCGGAAAAUUUAACGGGGCUAAGAUACAAACCGAAGCUUAGGCUGCACGUAAGUGCGGGGUAGGGGAGCGUUGUGUAAGCGGAGAAACAGUAGCGUAAGCGGCUGUGGAGUUUACAGAAGUGAGAAUGCCGGAAUGAGUAGCGCGAAUGUGGUGAGAAUCCACAUGGCCGGAAACCUCAGGUUUUUGGAGGAAGGUUCGUCCGCUCCAAGUUAGGCGGGAGCUAAGGUCAGGCCGAAAGGCGUAGCCGAUGCACAGACGGUAGAGAUUCCGUCCCCACCGAAAGAUUUAAGCACAGGGACACUUUUUGAAGGUCGGAGCCAGGUGUUGGUUCUGGUAGUGAUCGAGGGAAAUAUAGUACCGAAGUCCGGCUGGAAGAGAGGCGAGAAAAGCUGUGUGUAUAUCUAAGGUGCCCGUACCGCAAACCGACACAGGUAGGUAGGAAGAAGAUUCUAAGGCCAACGGGAGAAGGGUUGUUAAGGAACUCGGCAAAUUGACCCCGUAACUUCGGGAGAAGGGGUGCUCCAGAGAUGGAGCCGCAGAGAAUCGGCCCAAGCAACUGUUUACCAAAAACACAGGUUUGUGCUAAAUCGAAAGAUGACGUAUACGAGCUGACGCCUGCCCGGUGCUGGAAGGUUAAAAGGAGAUGUGCAAGCAUUGAAUUGAAGCCCCAGUGAACGGCGGCCGUAACUAUAACGGUCCUAAGGUAGCGAAAUUCCUUGUCAGGUAAG
rnacentral:rRNA from 1 species